rnacentral:lncRNA from 1 species
CGUGUGCGGGGACGCUAGGCUGGGCGGCCUGUGUCACUCUUGGCCUUGGCAACUUCUGGCCAAUCCGCCCUGCCCCUCUGGGUCCCGGCGGGCCGGCUGCGCCCUAGGCUCAAAGGGUUAAGCAGGUGCCUCUCCGGGCGAGGCGCUAUUGGCCGAGGGCUGGGGCGGCGCGGCCGCGGUCACCACGCUUCGCCGAUCCCAACUUGGGUUCCUGCGGAAGGCAAGGCGGCCACUCGUCCCCUGGCUGCGGCUGCGGGGCCCAGGCCUUGGCGCGCAGGGAGUGGGAAGGAGAAAAGGACGAGAAGGGGCAAGCACCAGCCGCACCAGCAAAGGGGGCGAGGGUGGCGCGCGCAAGAUGAGGGGAGCUGAAGCCCUGCAUCCCGAAGGAGGCUGCGCCCACCGCCCGCAACUCCACUCCAGGCUCGCCAGCCGGAAGAAAGAGGAGGAAGUGGGACAACGGGGGUCCUGGGCAGGGGUAGGGGAAACGAUCAACUCCCACUGCCCCCACCCACUAGUCGAGUUGGAAUGCAAGUCGUCACUUAAAAAGGCUCACCCAAACCGCAGGCAUACCUCCUCACCCCUUAAAGAAACAUUGAUGUAAUAGUGUGGAGAAGUAACUGAGAGACGCGAGGAAAUAAAUGC